GGGUUGUGAGGUUAAGCGACUAAGCGUACACGGUGGAUGCCCUGGCAGUCAGAGGCGAUGAAGGACGUGCUAAUCUGCGAAAAGCGUCGGUAAGGUGAUAUGAACCGUUACAGCCGGCGAUGUCCGAAUGGGGAAACCCAGUGCAAUUCGUUGCACUAUCGUUAACUGAAUACAUAGGUUAACGAGGCGAACCGGGGGAACUGAAACAUCUAAGUACCCCGAGGAAAAGAAAUCAACCGAGAUUCCCCCAGUAGCGGCGAGCGAACGGGGAGCAGCCCAGAGUCUGAAUCAGCUUGUGUGUUAGUGGAACGGUCUGGAAAGUCCGACGGUACAGGGUGAUAGUCCCGUACACCAAAAUGCACAGGCUGUGAACUCGAAGAGUAGGGCGGGACACGUGGUAUCCUGUCUGAAUAUGGGGGGACCAUCCUCCAAGGCUAAAUACUCCUGACUGACCGAUAGUGAACCAGUACCGUGAGGGAAAGGCGAAAAGAACCCCGGCGAGGGGAGUGAAAAAGAACCUGAAACCGUGUACGUACAAGCAGUGGGAGCACCUUCGGGUGUGACUGCGUACCUUUUGUAUAAUGGGUCAGCGACUUAUAUUCUGUAGCAAGGUUAACCGUAUAGGGGAGCCGCAGGGAAACCGAGUCUUAAAUGGGCGUUAAGUUGCAGGGUAUAGACCCGAAACCCGGUGAUCUAGCCAUGGGCAGGUUGAAGGUUGGGUAACACUAACUGGAGGACCGAACCGACUAAUGUUGAAAAAUUAGCGGAUGACUUGUGGCUGGGGGUGAAAGGCCAAUCAAACCGGGAGAUAGCUGGUUCUCCCCGAAAGCUAUUUAGGUAGCGCCUCGUGAACUCAUCUUCGGGGGUAGAGCACUGUUUCGGCUAGGGGGUCAUCCCGACUUACCAACCCGAUGCAAACUACGAAUACCGAAGAAUGUUAUCACGGGAGACACACGGCGGGUGCUAACGUCCGUCGUGAAGAGGGAAACAACCCAGACCGCCAGCUAAGGUCCCAAAGUCACAGUUAAGUGGGAAACGAUGUGGGAAGGCACAGACAGCCAGGAUGUUGGCUUAGAAGCAGCCAUCAUUUAAAGAAAGCGUAAUAGCUCACUGGUCGAGUCGGCCUGCGCGGAAGAUGUAACGGGGCUAAACUGUGCACCGAAGCUGCGGCAGCGACACUAUGUGUUGUUGGGUAGGGGAGCGUUCUGUAAGCCUGCGAAGGUGGCCUGUGAGGGUUGCUGGAGGUAUCAGAAGUGCGAAUGCUGACAUAAGUAACGAUAAUGCGGGUGAAAAGCCCGCACGCCGGAAGACCAAGGGUUCCUGUCCAACGUUAAUCGGGGCAGGGUGAGUCGACCCCUAAGGCGAGGCCGAAAGGCGUAGUCGAUGGGAAACAGGUUAAUAUUCCUGUACUUGGUGUUACUGCGAAGGGGGGACGGAGAAGGCUAUGUUAGCCGGGCGACGGUUGUCCCGGUUUAAGCAUGUAGGCGGAGGUUCCAGGUAAAUCCGGUACCUUUUUAACGCUGAGGUGUGAUGACGAGGCACUACGGUGCUGAAGUAACAAAUGCCCUGCUUCCAGGAAAAGCCUCUAAGCAUCAGGUAACAUUGAAUCGUACCCCAAACCGACACAGGUGGUCAGGUAGAGAAUACCAAGGCGCUUGAGAGAACUCGGGUGAAGGAACUAGGCAAAAUGGUGCCGUAACUUCGGGAGAAGGCACGCUGAUAUGUAGGUGAAGCCCCUGCGGGUGGAGCUGAAAUCAGUCGAAGAUACCAGCUGGCUGCAACUGUUUAUUAAAAACACAGCACUGUGCAAACACGAAAGUGGACGUAUACGGUGUGACGCCUGCCCGGUGCCGGAAGGUUAAUUGAUGGGGUUAUCCGUAAGGAGAAGCUCUUGAUCGAAGCCCCGGUAAACGGCGGCCGUAACUAUAACGGUCCUAAGGUAGCGAAAUUCCUUGUCGGGUAAGUUCCGACCUGCACGAAUGGCGUAAUGAUGGCCAGGCUGUCUCCACCCGAGACUCAGUGAAAUUGAACUCGCUGUGAAGAUGCAGUGUACCCGCGGCAAGACGGAAAGACCCCGUGAACCUUUACUAUAGCUUGACACUGAACAUUGAGCCUUGAUGUGUAGGAUAGGUGGGAGGCUUUGAAGCGUGGACGCCAGUCUGCGUGGAGCCAACCUUGAAAUACCACCCUUUAAUGUUUGAUGUUCUAACGUUGGCCCCUGACCGGGGUUGCGGACAGUGUCUGGUGGGUAGUUUGACUGGGGCGGUCUCCUCCCAAAGAGUAACGGAGGAGCACGAAGGUUAGCUAAUCCUGGUCGGACAUCAGGAGGUUAGUGCAAUGGCAUAAGCUAGCUUGACUGCGAGCGUGACGGCGCGAGCAGGUGCGAAAGCAGGUCAUAGUGAUCCGGUGGUUCUGAAUGGAAGGGCCAUCGCUCAACGGAUAAAAGGUACUCCGGGGAUAACAGGCUGAUACCGCCCAAGAGUUCAUAUCGACGGCGGUGUUUGGCACCUCGAUGUCGGCUCAUCACAUCCUGGGGCUGAAGUAGGUCCCAAGGGUAUGGCUGUUCGCCAUUUAAAGUGGUACGCGAGCUGGGUUUAGAACGUCGUGAGACAGUUCGGUCCCUAUCUGCCGUGGGCGCUGGAGAAUUGAGGGGGGCUGCUCCUAGUACGAGAGGACCGGAGUGGACGCAUCACUGGUGUUCGGGUUGUCAUGCCAAUGGCAUUGCCCGGUAGCUAAAUGCGGAAGAGAUAAGUGCUGAAAGCAUCUAAGCACGAAACUUGCCCCGAGAUGAGUUCUCCCUGAGACUUUAAGUCUCCUGAAGGAACGUUAAAGACGAUGACGUUGAUAGGUCGGGUGUGUAAGCGUAGCGAUACGUUGAGCUAACCGAUACUAAUGAACCGUGAGGCUUAACCUUACAACGCCGAAGGUGUUU
rnacentral:rRNA from 1 species